UAUAUAUAUUGGAUCGAUUAAAUGCAGUUGUAAAUUAAAGUUCAGGAGGAGCAUGUUCAUCUAUUCCUGUCAAUCACAAUGCAAUAUAAACUGCAGCUUAUAUAAUUCUUCUGCUACCCCAUCCACUAACCAAAAUCUACUUUUAUUUCUAAUAAUUUCUGUUAUGUAUUCAGUAAUUAUGUAGUCAGGGGAUUUAGAGUUUGUGAAUGAGCAUUUGGAAUAAUACGUACAUGUUGCUUGUAUAUAGAUGUAGUGUAGAAACACUGAGUUUGGCUGCAGGACAAUCUGUUUGACUGACUCCUGUGUCUUUGCUGCCUUUCAAGAGCUGCUGUUUUUUGUGUUAUUUUAUUAUUAUUUGUAUACUAUUAUAGCAUUCAUUUGUAAUUUAAAAUUAAUUAAUAAUUCAUUUAAUUUUAUUUUUAGUUUACAUUUUAGUAAAGUUUAUUGUGUUUUGUCUAAUUUAUUAGUUUUGGUGGGUUUUUUUGUUAAAUAUUCUAUUAUUUUUAUUUUCGUUUUAGUUAAUGGGUUUUUUGUUAAUAUUCUAUUAUUUUAUUUUCGUUUUAGUUAAUGUCACUUAAAUAAGUUAAGUUACAUUGCAUUCAAGGUUUAUAUUUUAUAUUUGAUCAGUUCAUGCUUUCUCUUAAUUUUCUAUUUAUUUUUCAAAUGGUAAUAUAUAUAUAUAUAUACAGUACAGACCAAAAGUUUGGAAACAUUACUAUUUUUAAUGUUUUUUGAAAGAAGUCUCUUCUGCUCAUCAAGCCUGCAUUUAUUUGAUCAAAAAUACAGAAAAAACAGUAAUAUUGUGAAAUAUUAUUACAACUUAAAAUAAUAGUUUUCUAUUUGAAUAUACUUAAAAAAAAUAAUUUAUUCCUGUGAUGCAAAGCUGAAUUUUCAGCAUCAUUACUCCAGCCUUCAGUGUCACAUGUAACAUCCAGUCUAUCACAUGAUCAUUUAGAAAUCAUUCUAAUAUUCUGAUUUAUUAUGAGUGUUGGAAACAGUUCUGCUGUCUAAUAUAUUUGAUGAAGAAAAGGUUAAAAAGAACUGCAUUUAUUCAAAAUAAAAAAAAUUCUAAUAAUAUAUAUUCUAAUAAUAUAUUUUCUUUACUAUCACUUUUUAUCAAUUUAACACAUCCUUGCUGAAUAAAAGUAUUGAUUUUAUUUAAAAAAAGAAAGAAAAAAAAUUACUGACCCCAAAUUACUGACCAGUAGUGUAUAUUGUUAUUACAAAAUAUUUAUAUCAGGUCAGGACACAUAUGUAA
rnacentral:lncRNA from 1 species